AGAUUAUACACAUAUGUGUGUAUAAUUGCAUUUUUUAUUCUAGCUGUUUGGAUGGAAUGGAGUGAUGACAUGGUGUAGCACUCAGCCAUUUUAGGGGGAGCUGCAAAAAUUCUGUUCCUUAAAGGCAGGUAAAAACUGCUUUCAGUAUUUUCUACAGUACAAUACGAUCUUCUCUUGGCAUCAUCAUUAUUUUUCCCUUUUAUCUCUUCUAACUAGGUUCUGGGUAUCGUUGACUCUCUUGAGAUUAGUUGAUGUAUGUGUAUGUCUGGUUUAUAUGACCAGAGAAAAUAAACAAAUUCUAUUAUAAAAUUGAAUCAUCAAGUAUGAAUACACUCCAUGCUGAAGGUUGUUGCUACUCAUUUAAGCACAUCACGCUUUAAUGGCUUCAGGUUUUUUAUUACUAUUAUUUUUGAGAAAGAGAAGAAAUAUGAGUGUAUUUAAUGUAAACUAGAAUGUUUCUGAAGUGUGAUAGUCAUUAUGUAGUAGAACAAGUUAAGAUCCUUGAAAUCCAGUGUGAACAGAUUAAAGAGAUCUCAGAUGGUUAAAAGUAAGGUCACAAUCAUAGAAACAAAGGUUAUGUUCUUGAGACAUUAAUUUCGGUUGAAUGAUAUAGAAUUGCCACCUUUUAAGAUAAAAAACAGUCACGUAUUGGCAAUUUCAAAUGGUCCACUUGAUAGAUGUUCAGGAGGGAAGGAAUGCAGAAGGGAGUGUGAAGGAAAGAGCGCAGGUCUUCAGGUGUUGUGCCAUUAGCCAGGGCCAUCACUGUUUAAUACUGAAUGGCUGAGCUCUUGCAGAUGUAGAUCAAGCAAUAUUUAGUUGUCUCUUCUCUUUGGAAGAAAGGGGUUGCAAAAUAUUCCACAUCAGCAGGUGUAUAGAAGCCUUCGGGGAUUUUUCACCAUCAUCACAUUUCCAAAGGAUUUAAGAAAGCUUACAAAAAUAUAUGACAUUUUUAAAAGUGAGGAAAUCGAGGAUAUGGGUAAAUAGUGACAUCCAGAUCUC